CGCUACACGGCCGCGCGCCCGCUCCUGCUUCCCGAGCUGCUGCGGAGACGCCGAAUCUUCCGGUGCUCAUGCAAAAGUGCCCGGGCUCCCGCGAGGCUGCUCCGCGGAGUCGCCGGGCUCGGCGCCCCGGCCGCGCUCCUGGCACCGACGUUAACUUGGAGUCCGGGGACGAGUCCGAGCCGCCGGUGGAGGAGCCGGCCCGGCUCUGCAGGGAGGCGGCGGGGUCGACUGCUCAGCGCGAAGCUACCUCCGUGCGACCCUCCCCUUCCCGCCCCUUCCCCUCCCCCCACCAGCCGGAUCUGGGUUCUCGGGCGCUUAUUGUUUUAAUGAAAUUUUGGACGGUGGUGGUUGUGGUCCUGAAUGUGAUUUUAGCUGCGAGUUACGUGUCCUCGCUCCUCUCGGGCUCCCUCGGAGGGUUUUCAGAGAGGUCUCAGUGCAUCCAUUUUCUCAGACCCUCUCCUUCUUUCGGGGGAAAGAUCUGGGGCCCUGCGGUCGCCUUGGAGCGGGAAGGCCUUCGGCUCCGGCUCUCAGAGGGGCUGCGCGGUGGCCGAGGGAGCUCCCGGGUGGCGGCGGCGGCCGUUCCGGGCUGGACGCCGUAAGGGGAGUCAGCGGAUUUUCCCGGCAGGAUCUCCAUGUACAGCUACAUCUUUAGGGCCGCUCGGGUUAAUAUAUGUCGUCAGAGGCUCCUCACGCCAAUCCCGGGGCGGCGGGGGCGGCGCCUCGCGCUCUCCGCAAUAAAACUUUUUGAUGUUCUUCUUGCUAAUUGCCGAGGUCCUCUUCCAGGAUUGGCUGCCCCUUCAUAACCAUAAGAUAAUUAAAACGAGGGGGGGCAGGGUUAAAAAAACUUUUUUAUCAGCCAGAGGUUAAUGCAAGUGUUUAACAGAUGCUUCAUUAUUAAAAUAUUUUUCCCCCCAACUCUCAAAUAUUGAAGAAUCUCAGACCAGGGACGCCAGCCCCUCCGAAGACCUUGGGCGAUUUCAAAGCGCAGGCACCUCGAUUCCCCGAAUUUGUGGUGUGGCGGGUCCCGGUGUUCCCCUGUUUUAACUAGCCUGUUUGCAAAUUGUGUACAUGCCAGCAAUAUUUUCUUCCAAGCCGGGAGGAAAUCAUUCAACAUUCAGAGGAGGAAGUAAUUGCAAGUUUGCACCCAUGCUCUGUGGAAACAGAGCCCGAGGACGCAGCCAGACAACUGCGGGCCGGGCCGGGUCACCUCCCCGGGGAUCGCGAGGCCUCAGCCCUCGAAGGACAGUGUGCGCCCCAGACUGAGAUGCGGGGCUGCAGCCACAGCCCGGGACUGUUAGGGUGCAGGGGGCGCCACCCCGCACUUAGGCCUCUGCGUUGGCUGCUGGGCCGCUCCUGGUUAACGUCUCCUUUUGAUGCCACCGCCGCCCAGGAGGCCGGUUCUCCGCCGCUCAGGCCCAGGCGGGUCGCCGCUGCGGGGCGGGAGGGACCUCCCCCAGCGGCCCCCGGCGGAUCCCGGAGGGCUUUUCGGUGGAGGCGGGCAGCAAGGGGUUAACCGCGUCCCUCCCCCACCGCGCCCUGCACGCGGGGCGAAGGCCGCCGCCUCCCUCCCGAGGUCUCAUUAGGGGAACCCUCACCGCUAUUUUCAACAUUUCCUCAAUCAAGUGCCUUUAAAUAGAGCUGCACAAAUAAAUUGGCGGCAAAAGCGUA